CCACCUAUGAGCCAGACAUGCCAGCCACUUCCGGGAUCCGGUUGGAGCCUGCCUUAGCUCAGCUAUGCUGCCAACCGGGAGCCAACUGAGGAGGAGGAAAGGAGAUGGGAGAGUACAGAAAGUCACUAGCAAUUUGUAGGAAAGGUCAGUGUCACCUUCUGCAAGCUGCAUGAAACAGCUGAUUCCCUAUCUGCACAUCCCAUCUCUGGAGCAUGCAGCCACUAAAAAUCCAUGACCAAAGGACACACAGGCCUUGGCUUGAAGUCAAACUGGCCUUACAGAAGAACACAUCAGGUGACUGUUUUAAAGAUUACUACUCUUGGGAAGAGGUCCUUCCAAAAAUGGUGAACAGCCCUGUGGCAAACAGACGGGUAUCCCAACUAUUAGCCUUCUCGGACGUCGAACAGCUUCAUGUUUCUAGGAACACCUUUGCUAGAAAGCGUCAAAUAUAUGUGCCCUCUGGAUACUGUACACAGUUUUGAUUAGUGAACCUUUAAGAUAGCAAAAUGUCCAAGGAGCAACAUAACUAUCUUAAAUAAACUAGUAGCUAUGGUACACAU